GCUAGCGUAGCUUAACUAAAGCAU
rnacentral:tRNA from 1 species